rnacentral:tmRNA from 1 species
GGGGACGCGUGGUUUUGACAGAAGAAGCCUGUGGUUUAAUUGCGAAUCGAGAUUCCAUCUACCUCGUAAACGGUGGAAAAACAUAAACGACGAAAAACAAGUCGCUUUAGCUGCAGUUUAAGUAGCUAACAUCUUCUAAUGCUUAUCCUUAGAAAGCACUAGAAAGAUGCCGAAAAUCUAAGGUGCAUUAAAUGAAUUUGGUGACAUUUAAUAAAGUUUAAUUCCAAAAACUUAAAUCAUGUUAUUUGUCAUUGAGUAUGUGAUUUAAGAUAAAUUCAAUGACUAUAUUCGUAGAAGUUAAAUUAUGACUUUUUUUGGACGGGGAGUUCGACUCUCCCCCGUCUCCACCA